GAGAGAGAGAUGAGUAAAAUUAGGGGGAAUUCUAGGGAUUUAGCUUGCAAAUGGUAACAUUUGCCAGCGAUGUCAGAAUCUU
rnacentral:sRNA from 1 species